UGGAGAAACUCAGGGAGGUGUGAGCGCGUGUGUGCUUGCAAGUGCACGGGUGCACACGUGGGUGCAGGUGUGUGUGCAGGUGUGUGCAUGUAUGUCCUCCCAUGUGUGUGCCCCAUGCAUGCAUGUAUGUCUAUGUAUGAUUGAAUUGAGUGUCUGUGUGUGUGCAUGUCCCUGCAUGCAUGUGCUACGUGUGUGUACCAUAUGCAUAUGUGCAGGCGUGUGUGUGUGUACAUGCAUGUGUGUGUGCGGAGCAGGAAGAAGGCAAUUUCAGAAAUAAAUAUGGUUUCUGUUUCCAGAACUUAGAGAAAACGAUGCUGUGGAGAGAGGUCAGCAGAUCCCUACUAGGCGUCCACUGAAAAGACUCCAUUUGACUGAGAUCUCAUUCUAAACCGAAAGACAAAAGCUAGUCUCUCCAUCGUGUUUCUUGCUCAGUCUCAGUUCAAAUGACUUGGAGGAGCUCAGAGACCGAGGGACUUAGGUCACCAGGCCAUCCCUUGAUCUCAGACACACAGUGAGAGGCAGACCGGGCCCAGAAGUAGCGGAGUGGUAAUGGGGUCCCUGGGCAAAGCGUGAGGUAGGGGAGUGUGCCUGGUGAGGGGAGGGCGGUCCCCACCCUGCCCCAGGUCCAAUAAGCAGGGACCCUGAAUUGUCCCUUCUCCCCAUGAGCUUCCUCAUCCCUGACAGUAGGGCAGGGGUUCAACGCCCCCAGGCUCCAAGCCCUAAAAUUCUACCUGAGAAGGCAGGACAAGGGACCUUCACCCUUUCCGGGGCAGCAAGCUCAGCGUUUCCUUCCUGGGCUAUUAUUCCAGCAACAGUGCAGGACCCAGCCUCUUCCAGUGUCCCCCCCACACCGGGAAGAAGAGCCGCCCCGUGGGCUGUGAGUACGCGUGAGCCCCUAGGACACUUCCAGCAUCUCCCCUGGACCAGGACCAGUCUCACCUAGGGGGAGACCCUGCCCGCCGGCGCCAUCUGAAUGCACGCCGGACCGGAGGCCAGAGGGUCUGAGGGCCUGAGGAAGCCACCGUGGACAGGAGCAGACGCCAGGACGUGUGAGAGGAAUGGGGCGUUUCUCCCCCAUCGUGGGCUGGGAGGGCCUGAGCCUGGGUUGGCCAUGUCACCCGGAUGACCUCUGAGGAGACCCAGCCACCCAGACUAGGGGAGAUGGGUCCCAAACCACGCUGUCAGCCCGAGGCCCCCUUGGGAAGGAUCGAUUUUUGGGAAACGGGUUUCAGGUGAGUUAUUGGGCCUCUGGACUCCACUGUGGGGGCAGGAAGCAGGUCCUAGGGUCAAAGCCGUUCCAGAGGGUGGGCCAGAUCCUGGGGGUAAAGACAGGAACGGGCGCCAGGCCUGUGAUGGAGCGACGUCUCUUUUAACCUCUUCCCUUUACGCAAAGUUUGGUUCACACACUGCUGGAUGCUGGUGUGUGUGAGCGCAAAUACCAAUCAGACUAACAGGCUUGAUUCUCCCUGUCGAAACCAGAGAGGAGACCUCUCCCCCGGCCUUUUUCUUAGAGCAUUGGUUUUGGAAAAUUUGUCACUGAAAAGCCUUUCUCCUCUUUGAAGUGUAUGUAGGUGGUGACCCUAUAGAGGUUAGUACUCUGUGUUGUGAAAUGUAUGUCAUUGGUUUUUAAAGACAAAUAUGCUUCUUGCCACUUUUACCACCAGAAAUGUCUUUCUGAAGGGCCUGGACACUCUCUCCGAAAU
rnacentral:lncRNA from 1 species